rnacentral:lncRNA from 1 species
AUGAAACAAAGCCACUUGACAGCACCCUCUCUGUGACUUACUUGUAAGAAGAAGUCUGCCACUGAACAUGUAUGCAAGCUUCGUAGUGAGUGGUCGGCUAGUUUGAUUGGUGGUUUAACUACAAUAUUUCAUCACUGUUGCAAAAAUGAGCUGAGUCCCUAAAAAGGAAACAAGUAAAACAGGCAGUCCAACCUUUUUUCAGUCAUCUUACCAGAGUUUUGCUUCUAAGGAAGAGGUUCUCUUUAAAUGGUUGGGAAAUAACAUCGUCCUGAAGGGUAAAGUUGGUGUAACUGAAGCACUCCAGGAUUUAGUCAAACAAAAAUUGUUUUAAGAGGAAUAAAAAAAUGGGAUCAAGUCCCUCCAAACCAAUGACAAGCACUGAAGAACCAUACAGCACAUCAACAGAAGCCACACACGCUGGUAUACCAGAUUGCCCAAUUGCUCUCGAGAAAAUAUACCCUUACUUACUUAUGGCAUUUGUUGCUGGGGUCCUUCUGACGCUUCUGGUCACUGCCAUCAUCUUCGUCAUCAAGAAGAGCUGUUCCAAACAUCCAACCAGCGGCUCCCAGGCAAUUCCCCUGGCCUCAGACCCUUCCCACACGUGUUGCCCCACUGCUGAGGAGGCCCUUACCUGUGCUGACAUGUCUCUCAAAGAUUCAGGAGAAAACAGAGUCUGCUUUACCCAAAACCAGCAUGAAGAAUUGGACCCCAUUGUCUAUGCACAAAUCAAAGUGCAAACCAAAACCAGCCUUCCCAUCAGUGGAAGUGGGGAGAUGCGCUAG